rnacentral:tRNA from 1 species
AAGGUAUUAGUUUAAUGGUUAAAACAUCUAUUUUACACAUAGAAGAGUAAUAGUUCAAUUCUAUUAUACCUUA